AUUUUGGAUUGUCUUUCUGUGUCGCCGGUCCAGUAUGAUCCGUUUUGUUGUCCUCAGCGUCCUUCUGUGUGUUGUGUCUGCGCAGCUUCCAAGACCAUGUGGUAAGAUGACGUCAUUAUAAAAGAUGUUACGCAAAUACUAAAAUGCAAUGCAAUUAUACUAGUAUUCAUUUUAAUUCUACAACAUUUCUAAAGCGAUUAUGCAAAGUCUUUUUUCAUCUUUCUUGAGAAGUACUAAAUAAAAGAAUAACAAAAUGCUUUCCUUGUGUUGCAAGUACAUUUUGGAUUAUCGUAAAUAACACGUUAAGUCAUUAAGAUAUGACCCCCCAUUUCUUGUUUGUCGUAACAUGGGUAAGGUCAUGUAACCUUAGAUAGCGACGAUCACAAGACUGACAUGUCGCUGUAACCUUUAUCUACAUGUAUCUUAUUUUGAAUUCGUUGAUUUUAGAAUCACCGAAGCAAUGGGAGGGGAAAGUGAUCACGGUAGGUAUUUAAAUAAACAUAAAAGUUGACAUGAGCAAAUUAAAAAAAGGGAAUGCUUACUUUAUCACUACAUGCUGACAGAUCAGAUAUCCUUGCAAAGACAGCUGACAAGGCUUUAUUUUUGAAUAAAUACAGGUAGACAGAAAAGAAAAUUUCUUCAGGGCCGGGCGCAUCAGUUAUGACGAGUACGCCCCUCGUUUCCGUAUCAUUGAAGAAGAGGCUGUUGGUAAACAAGUGGAUUACUAUGAUGUACUGUACCUCCACAAUGUGGUAAGUCAGCAACAGGUGUAAAAUCUGUGCAUGUGGGUAGAUCCUAAGGUGCAUGAAGCUGUGCUUUAUCGCUCAAUUUUACUCCAAUUUACUGAAUUAAGUUCAAAAGAUCUCGAACACCAUAUCGAGCACUUAAGGAAAAGGCCCCAUAAAAUGAUACUGUAUUCAGUAAAACUUACAUGAUCUUCAUAAAAACUUCGACUUUCCUUUUCCCAUCGAAAAAAAAAAACAACCUUAAAGUUAAAUGUUAAAUCCUGUUGAUACAUUUGAACAAGUGAAAUAUUAAAAUUAUCAAGAAUUGAUAUACCUAUAAAAGUCAUCUCAUAGUCACCUUACCUUAAUGGUACAUUUAUUUAUAUAAAUCACAGGGCAAGGAAUAUCGCCUCAACUUGAAAACACGACAGUGUAACGUGACCGCCUUAACUCGCCCCUUCCGUCCGUUCGGAGUACCUCCAAUGGCUAACUUCACUGGCGAGGCCACCAUUGGCGCUGCCGGUAUCGCCGGAGAAAAUGUCGUCAUCGAGAACUUUAACGGACAAUUCACAGACGGAACCAAGUUCUUCGGUGACGUCACAUACCCAGAUUGUAUUCCCGUUUCUAAUGGAUUCUUCAACAAUGACAUUGGAUUUGCAAUGAAUACGUAUGCAUUAGUUUAUAUUCUGUAGAUUUUGCUUUUGUUGUAUAUAUGUAACUAGUCCUGUUUGUUCUCUCUUUUUUAAAUUGUUCCAUUGUUCAUGUCUAAACUGAAUUGACUUUUAUAUUACAGAUUUUUCGAUAUCAAUAUCGGAAUUACAGACCCAAUGGUGUUCAUUCCACCAAGGGAAUGCGCAGGAAAGUGAUCUGAAAAUCUUUUUUUAUUAAUUUAGAUUUUUUAUAUAUUUUUGAAAUAAUAAACUUUAGAAAC
rnacentral:misc_RNA from 1 species